UUUUAUUCAGUAGUUAAAAUUAUGUUGUAAAACAUACUAUUGAAAUUCUUUGAUAUAAGAUGCAUUUGAAAUAAUACUUAUUUCUCUUUAAUUUUUAGGAAGUGUUUGGAUUGUAAGCUAUUUUAGAACUCUGUUCUCAGGACCCAGUGUUUGGGAGAAACACAUCCAGAAGGGUAGCUAUAGAUACCGAAAAUUUGACCAAAGAUUUAAAAGGAGACUUUCAUGAAAUUUUCCGGAGACCAGUUGACCAAGGCAAACUGAUGCUGUGGAGACUUCGUUGGGGUAGUGGUCUGGAAGAGAUGUAUAGAAGCAAACUGACUUGGGUUUGAAUCCCUGAUUUAUUGUAUGACCUUGGGUAAGUCUCUCGACCUGUGAGCCUUCGUUUCUUCAUCUGUAAAAUGGGAUAAUACCCAUUUUAUACAGAUAGUGAUUAGAUGAGAUAAUAUAUGACAAACAUUGAGCAUGAUGUUUAUGACCUACUUAUUGUCCAAUAACUUGCCACCUAGUUAAUAUAAAUUAAUCGUAAUAACUGGGAAUAAAGACACUAAAUAGUUGUUUUGAAAACUUAGAUUUCAUGUCGAGAGACAUAGUUAGAACAUAGAAAUUUAUUUAAAGCUUCUUGAAAAAUCUUUAGAAAACCACAUCCUAGUUAAGUGUUUACAGGUAAAUGGAUUGACGUUGA
rnacentral:lncRNA from 1 species